UGCUGCAAAGUGCCUACUGACAAAGCUGGAGGGAGCCUGUCUGGAAGGGAAAGUUCCCAUGUUAUUACUGUCCUGAAGGCUUUGCUGUGGAUUAGUGACCAUGCAUUCAACAAAUCCUUUAAAUCUUUGUCUGAAGAGAAACUGAAGAAUAUAGACAAAGUUACAGUAACCCACUGAUUUCAUAACAGCUUUAAGAGUGAAAUACUGAAAUCAGAUAGCCACAAGCAGAAGUGUUAUCAUGCACAUGGACCGAGACUCGGAGUGAAAAAAAGGAUCCCUCUUCAGCUCUCUGGAAAACGUCCAUAUUGUCCUAUUACUUCAGGAAAGUGAUUUCACUUUCUAACAGACUUAAAGAUGUGGUGGGUAAAAGUAAGUAUAUAAAUGUAAUAAGCUUCAGUCAAGUAUGUGGCAGAUCAUUCAUAUUGACAGCUUUGUUUAUAUUUGUCUAAUAAAACAUUCAAUUUGAGUUUUACUGAUACAGUGGAGCAGUAACUUCUUGGCUGGAACCUAAGCAGGAGAUUUUUGUAGGAUUUGCAAGGAUUUGAACAAUUCCUACCAGGACUAAAUAUUCACGUCAACAAACUGGGAAGUACACAUCAAAUCAUUAUUAUCAAAAUCUUCAGAUGAUAUGAAGUUGUGCAGAAUGCUG
ensembl:lncRNA